AUAUUUAAAAGGCAUAGCCGGGGAAAUCCGGUGACGCAAAACUAUAGGGUCUAAGCAAAUGAAACAAAUGUAUGACAGCCAGUUGCACCU
rfam:Blautia sp. CAG:237 genomic scaffold, scf218